CCUACGGGAGGCUGCAGUCGAGAAUCUUCCACAAUGGACGAAAGUCUGAUGGAGCGACGCCGCGUGAUUGAUGAAGCCCUUCGGGGUGUAAAUAUCUUUUAUGAGGGAAGAAGUUUAUUGACGGUACCUCAUGAAUAAGGGGUUGCUAAACUCGUGCCAGCAGCAGCGGUAAUACGAGUACCCCGAGCGUUAUCCGGAAUUAUUGGGCGUAAAGGGUGUGUAGGCGGCGAUGUUAGUCUUUCGUUAAAGCCCCGGGCUCAACCUGGGAAAGGCGAAAGAAACGGCAUUGCUAGAAUAUGUGAGAGGUAUGUGGAACUCAUGGUGUAGGGGUGAAAUCCGUUGAUAUCAUGGGGAACACCGAAUGCGAAGGCAGCAUACUGGCGCAUUAUUGACGCUGAAACACGAAAGCGUGGGUAGCGAAUGGGAUUAGAUACCCCGGU
rnacentral:rRNA from 1 species